UGAGGAAUAUUGGUCAAUGGACGCAAGUCUGAACCAGCCAAGUAGCGUGCAGGAUGACGGCCCUAUGGGUUGUAAACUGCUUUUAUAUGGGGAUAAAGUGGGGAACGUGUUCCCUUUUGCAGGUACCAUAUGAAUAAGGAGCGGCUAAUUCCGUGCCAGCAGCCGCGGUAAUACGGAAGGUUCGGGCGUUAUCCGGAUUUAUUGGGUUUAAAGGGAGCGUAGGCCGUUUGGUAAGCGUGUUGUGAAAUGUAGGAGCUCAACUUCUAGAUUGCAGCGCGAACUGUCAGACUUGAGUGCGCACAACGUAGGCGGAAUUCAUGGUGUAGCGGUGAAAUGCUUAGAUAUCAUGAAGAACUCCGAUUGCGAAGGCAGCUUACGGGAGCGCAACUGACGCUGAAGCUCGAAGGUGCGGGUAUCGAACAGG
rnacentral:rRNA from 1 species